GGGAGGUACCCCUUCGUCCCGUAGGAGGGGGCAGGAAAAGAAGGGAUUUCACGAGCGGCUGGUGUCAACGUGGCCAUGGCACGAUUAUUGCAGUAUGAAUUUUUUUUCACGGCACAAAUAAGUGAGUUAUCGAUAAGCGUGAAAGGUCUCGUAAGCUUCUGGUAAAAGUGGCCACUUGUCUCCUUCGUUUUAUAACCAGGCAAAAGGUGACUUUUCCAUUCCCUCAUCUUGCAAUGUCCUGGUCAACUUGACGUGCCGAGUCAGUAAAUAGAACGCCCUGCGGGAAGGAUAUCGUCACUUUUGUCAUCCGUCAAGUUUAAUCCAAAUCAGCCCCAUCCUUUCUGCACGGAUCGUAAUGUUCUCUCUGUUGUUUCGACAUCACGUAUCCACUUCAACUUGGCCUUUUCCUACCUCAAAAAUCUGCACAGGGUCGUAAAAAAAGAUGCUCAUGAGGCGAAAUCAAAAUUACGAAAAUGAUUUCUAUUUUAGUCACGCGGAUUCAUGAAAUUUCACCAUUUCCGGGCAAGAUAUUUCCAAGAAGAAGAAGAAAUAAAUAAAGGAUUGCAUACAUGCAUGAUGCAUCAUGGGAAAAUACUGGCACGUACAGGUGGGGACGGAGGUCAUCCUAAUAUUUAAUUUUCUUGUUGACAUGAUGGCAUUGCGAUGAUCAAAGUGGGAAAGCCUUGUUGAAGAAUUUAUAACAAGUGAUAUUUUUUCAAUUUGGAAAUUUCCCCGUGUAAAGUGUCAUCUGCUGUGAUUUAAUAAUUGAUUGAUUGAUUGACUAAUCAGAGGAAUGAUAGGAGAGAGAGAGAGAGUUGACACUGGCACGGACGUGGUCAACUUGUCAGUCCAAUAAUAAAGCACUCGAGGGUUGGUCAUUUUACUGCAUUUUCGUAAUAUUCUGGACUUGGUGUAAAAUCAGGAAAUUAAAU